rnacentral:tRNA from 1 species
GGCGCUGCUGGCGAAGGCGGCCGGGGCGGGCGGGCUCCUGGUUUGCCCGGGGCUGACGGGGUUCGAUACCAUGCGGCGUCU